rnacentral:rRNA from 1 species
AAAUGACGGUACCUGACUAAGAAGCCCCGCCUAAAUACGUGCCAGCAGCCGCGGUAAUACGUAGGGGGCAAGCGUUAUCCGGAUUUACUGGGUGUAAAGGGAGCGCAGGCGGCAUGAUAAGUCUGAUGUGAAAGCCCGGGGCUCAACCCCGGUACUGCAUUGGAAACUGUCGUACUAGAGUGUCGGAGGGGUAAGCGGAAUUCCUAGUGUAGCGGUGAAAUGCGUAGAUAUUAGGAGGAACACCAGUGGCGAAGGCGGCUUACUGGACGAUAACUGACGCUGAGGCUCGAAAGCGUGGGGAGCAAACAGGAUUAGAUACCCUGGCAGUCCACGCCGUAAACGAUGAAUACUAGGUGUUGGGAAGCAUUGCUUCUCGGUGCCGUCGCAAACGCAGUAAGUAUUCCACCUGGGGAGUACGUUCGCAAGAAUGAAACUCAAAG